rnacentral:rRNA from 1 species
CAGUCGAACGGUGAAAGGGACUUCGGUCCCUGGAUCAGUGGCGAACGGGUGAGUAACACGUGGGCAACCUGCCCCUAGCUCCGGAAUAACCCCGGGAAACCGAGGCUAAUACCGGAUACGACCCUGCGCGGCAUCUCGCGGGGUGGAAAGUUUUUCGGCUAGGGAUGGGCCCGCGGCCUAUCAGCUUGUUGGUGGGGUAAUGGCCUACCAAGGCGACAACGGGUAGCCGGCCUGAGAGGGUGACCGGCCACACUGGGACUGAGACACGGCCCAGACUCCUACGGGAGGCAGCAGUGGGGAAUAUUGCGCAAUGGGCGAAAGCCUGACGCAGCGACGCCGCGUGAGAGAUGACGGCCUUCGGGUUGUAAACCUCUUUCGGUAGGGAUGAAGCCUUUCGGGUGACAGUACCUGCAGAAGAAGCACCGGCUAACUACGUGCCAGCAGCCGCGGUAACACGUAGGGUGCGAGCGUUGUCCGGAAUUAUUGGGCGUAAAGAGCUCGUAGGCGGUCCGUCACGUCGGAUGUGAAAUUCCAGGGCUCAACCCUGGACCUGCAUUCGAUACGGGCGGACUAGAGUUCGGUAGGGGAGACUGGAAUUCCUGGUGUAGCGGUGAGAUGCGCAGAUAUCAGGAGGAACACCGGUGGCGAAGGCGGGUCUCUGGGCCGAUACUGACGCUGAGGAGCGAAAGCGUGGGGAGCGAACAGGAUUAGAUACCCUGGUAGUCCACGCCGUAAACGUUGGGCGCUAGGUGUGGGGGACCUUCCACGUCCUCUGUGCCGCAGCUAACGCAUUAAGCGCCCCGCCUGGGGAGUACGGCCGCAAGGCUAAAACUCAAAGGAAUUGACGGGGGCCCGCACAAGCGGCGGAGCAUGUGGCUUAAUUCGAUGCGACGCGAAGAACCUUACCAAGGCUUGACAUUCAGGGAAAUCUCACAGAGAUGUGAGGUCCGCAAGGGUCCUGAACAGGUGGUGCAUGGUUGUCGUCAGCUCGUGUCGUGAGAUGUUGGGUUAAGUCCCGCAACGAGCGCAACCCUCGUCCUAUGUUGCCAGCGGGUUAUGCCGGGGACUCAUAGGAGACUGCCGGGGUCAACUCGGAGGAAGGUGGGGAUGACGUCAAAUCAUCAUGCCCCUUAUGUCUUGGGCUGCACACAUGCUACAAUGGCCGGUACAAAGGGCUGCGAUACCGCAAGGUGGAGCGAAUCCCAAAAAGCCGGUCUCAGUUCGGAUCGGGGUCUGCAACUCGACCCCGUGAAGUCGGAGUCGCUAGUAAU